rnacentral:misc_RNA from 1 species
GAGAUAGCUUAACAGCAAACAGAACUCAAGCUAACAUUAACCUUCCAAGUCCCUUUGCAUCCCUUGAUGAGCUCAAGGCCAAUUUCUCUGCCGUGGGGCUUGAUAAUGUUUCCGAUUUAGUUGCCUUGUCCGGUGCUCACACAUUUGGACAAGCUCAAUGUCGAACUUUCAGGGCUAGAAUAUAUAACUCUCCUGAGCUACCAUUGAACUCAACCUAUAAUAUAACACUUAGCAAAAUUUGCACACAAAAUGGAACUACUGAUGGUAGUGCGAGAACGCAGCUUGAUUCUACAACACCUAAUGUGUUUGAUAAUAAGUAUUUCUCUAAUCUUCAAUUUGCCAGAGGUCUUCUGGAGAGUGACCAAGUUCUGUUUUCAACCCCCGGAGCUGAUACUAUUGAAAUUGUUGACAAUUUUAGUGCUAAUCAGGCUGUAUUUUUUGAAAGCUUUGUGGAGGCUAUGAUCAGAAUGGGAAAUAUCAGCCCUUUAACAGGAACUGAAGGGGAGAUUAGAUUGAAUUGCAGCAGAAAAAAUGAAGAUACAAUUGGAGCAGGCAUUCGUCUUGUUACUUCUAUGUGAUCCUUUAAGAAAUUCUCCUGUAUCCAAAUUAAAUAAACUAAUAUGGUCUCUAGCUAGCUAGACCAUAUUUUCCUUUGUCAACUAUUUUAAAUAGUUGGAUCUUAAAGAGUGCUGUUUGGACAAUCAAUUUUACUUUUUAAUAGCAUUUUAAAAAUAAAAUAAAAAAUUG